rnacentral:rRNA from 1 species
CCUACGGGAGGCAGCAGUGGGGAAUCUUGCACAAUGGAGGAAACUCUGAUGCAGCGAUGCCGCGUGAGUGAAGAAGGCCCUUGGGUUGUAAAGCUCUUUUGUCGGGAAAGAUAAUGACUGUACCCGAAGAAUAAGGUCCGGCUAACUUCGUGCCAGCAGCCGCGGUAAUACGAAGGGACCUAGCGUAAUUCGGAAUUACUGGGCGUAAAGCGCGCGUAGGCGGUUAAGUAAGUUAAUUGUGAAAGCCCAAAGCUCAACUUUGGAAUUGCAAUUAAAACUACUUAGCUAGAGUUUAUCAGAGGAAAGCGGAAUACAUAGUGUAGAGGUGAAAUUCGUAGAUAUUAUGUAGAACACCAGUUGCGAAGGCGGCUUUCUGGGAUAAUACUGACGCUGAGGUGCGAAAGUAUGGGUAGCGAAGAGGAUUAGAUACCCUCGUAGUCCAUACUGUAAACGAUGAUUGUUAGAUGUUGGAAAUUUAUUUUCAGUAUCACAGCUAACGCGUUAAACACUCCGCCUGGGGAGUACGACCGCAAGGUUAAAACUCAAAUGAAUUGACGG